GGCUACAUCUAAUUACCACCCUCUAAAAAUUAAACAUAGUAAGCCCUAACCCUAAGCCCUUCCGAAAACCACAGCAAGAACGAAAGGGGAUUCAAGGUUCCCUCGAGUACCCUUCUGGAAGCCCACUAUAAAUCCGCGUCAGAUUAACAAUGAUCGAGGCAGAGACUCUACUGGAGGGAACACUGCCAUGUUGAGCAACCAGCCGUCAAUUCUUGGUCCUCAGCCAAUUCCAAUGCUUGGUGGGAUUCCUCCAUACAACAGUGUUCCGUAUCUACCUUCAGAUGCAGUUAUGGAACCUCAGCCUGUUGCAAGGUGGGAUACAGGAGCUGGCACCGUAGCUCCUUUACCUGUCCACUUGCAGAAUUAAAUGUAUAUGCAUCAUGGGGCUGUCCCUCCUGGUGCAGGUCCUUAGAUGAUGCCCUUGCCUGGUCAAGGAAGCCAACGGGGCCACUGCCACUAGGUAUGAGGCAUCAGGUGGUGCCAUUGCCUGGCUAAGGAAUCCAGCAAGGGGCCAUGCCGUGAAUUUUUUUUUAAAUAUUAUGUUUUAAAAACUUAAUUUUCAAAAUAUCCUCAUUUGUUUAGAUCCGUAGUUUGGAUGAGGUGGGAUGCAUGCAUGAAAUAAUGGGUUCUUUCAUUGUCACGCAAGAUGAAAUCGUGGAUUGAGCUCACGAUUUUCUUUGGAAGUGAUUUACUGAAGUGUCAAUGCAAUCUUAGGUUGAAUCUACGAUUUCACGACUGCCUCUUUUUUUCUCAAAAUUUUUCUUUCUCAAUCGAUCAUUACCUCUAUUCUAACAUAUCCAAAAUCCCAAAUCCUCAUCUCUGUUGAAUAAAUAAAGAAAGAAUAAAAUAUUCUUAUUUUCUAACUAAAAAAAAAUCAAGUCGAUGUAGUACAUAAAUAUAAUAAAACAUAAGAAUCAUGUUUCACAUGAUGACAAUGUAUUGGUUCAGCUUCACUUGAUCUCUCAUGUUCUUUCGUAUAUUGCUCUAUUUGUGUGACAUUCUUCUAUGUAACUUCCUAAGCCAUACAGCUUCCUACACAAUAUUGAAUUCUUAGGUGCUCAUGUUGUCUGCUGCAUACCCAAAAUAUGUAGCGGUCUUCUCAACAAACUAGAAUUGGCUUAUGUCGUCAUGCAUGUACCUGAUGAUGUGUAUGGAGUGAACGUUAGAAACUCUAAAUCAGAAAUGGAGAUACAACCUACAACAUAUGGCCUUUCCAUUCUUGAUUCCAGAGUUCCUUAUGUUCACUCCAUACAUGUCAUCGGCCAUCUACAUGAAUCCAUUGAGCUAUCUGGAGAGUUCCAUAUGUGUGGGUGAGGGAGUUACGUGGCUCUCACAUAGAUAUAGAGCAAUAUACGGAGGAGCGUGAGGGAUCGAGUGAAGCUGAAUCAAUAUGUCGUCCGAAGCAAUUUGCAUGGAGGAAGAGGUAGCCAUCAUGUAGGACAUGAUUUUUAUGUUUUAUUAUAUUUAUUUAGGAUUUAAUUUUUUUUAGUUAAAAAAUAAAAUAUUUCAUUCUUUAUUUAUUUAAAUGGGGACGGGCAUUUGGGGUUGGUGAUGGGUUAGAAUAGGACAGAGGAUCGAAUGAGAAAGAAAAAUUUUGAAAAAAAUGGGAGACUGUAAUGAAAUUAUGGGUUUAACCCAUGAUUUCAGCAAAUCACUUCAAAAAAAAUCAUGAGUUUAAUCCAUAAUUUCAUCUUACGCUGCAAUGAAAUUGUGGAUCGAAUCCACGAUUUCAUGCAUGGCAUCCUAUCUCACCCAAACUACAGUAGAUCUAUAAAUAAGUUUUUAAAAUGAAAGUAUUUUGAGAGUUAAGUUUUUAAAAAAUAAUUUUUAAAAAAGUUCUCAUGCCGUCCGGUAUGAGUCCUGAGACGAUGCAGUUGCCUGGUCAACAUUGAGCGAUAACGCGAGUUGCAUGCACAAAACUCAUGACAUGACUGAUACAAAACUGACCUCUCAUCAAGGUAUAGAUCAAUGGGCAUAUUUUUCAAGUCACAAUGUGUUGCUUUCUCAUAUUCCAGAGGACUUUGUAAUUUUUUUGUGAAGAUUUAUCUAGAAUAUGUGCAUCACUUGGGACAACUUGGAGCAGAGAGUAAACACGACCGGUUGCUUUGCAAAAAGCGAGUUAGCCUAAGUUUUAUCGUGCUUUGCUUGCGGAGAAACUUGUGAAAUCUUGCUUCACAGCUUCAGGUGGUCAUUUGAUCUUUUCUGUUUCUUGUUAUAGAAACUUCCAGUAUCCAGAUUUAAAUGUCGUCUUGUGGCUAUUAUAAGCAUUAGUGAGGUCCCUAUGGUGGGUGACUCGUACCAUCCCAGAUGCCUGGGGGCUUGGCCGGUUGCCUGUAUGUCACUUUUCUAUGAAUGAUUGUAGAAAACUAUGUAAACUGCUCAUAUGGUGACGGCAUGUAAUUUUCUAUGCAA